UACAGAGGGUGCGAGCGUUGUUCGGAAUUACUGGGCGUAAAGGGCGCGUAGGCGGUCUUGCAAGUCCCGUGUGAAAUCCCUCGGCUCAACUGAGGAAUUGCACGGGAAACUGCUUGGCUUGAGAUCGGGAGAGGGAAGCGGAAUUCCGGGUGUAGCGGUGAAAUGCGUAGAUAUCCGGAGGAACACCGGUGGCGAAGGCGGCUUCCUGGACCGACACUGACGCUGAGACGCGAAAGCGUGGGGAGCAAACAGG
rnacentral:rRNA from 1 species